GCGGUGAUCGGGCAAGGCACGGAGCGCGGAGGGAAAGGAACGGAGGGGGAAAAAACACACAACAACAACAACAGCAACCCCAAACCCACACACAUCAGAGGCCAGCGCUUUUCUCCGCUUUACGGCUGCUGGAACCAAUCUCUCUCUCUCUCCCGCCUCCGUUAAGAGGGCUCAGCGCCGCCGUUCCGCGCGCCCAGGCUCCCUCCUCAGUAAAGGUAAAAAGGAGGGAAGCGCGCGGAGAGUAGGGGAGGGUUGGGAGCGGGAAAGGAAGGGAAAGGAGGAGCAGAGAGGAAAGAAGUUGGCGGCCGGGAAAAGUUGGGAGAACUCCUUGGCGGAGAUUUCUCAGGUGGACACUGGGUAAUAGCUUUUGAUGAUUCUGGACCUUUUUAAUUUGACCCGGUAAGUUCUUUGUCUUUGACCUUUUGUUGCCGUCUCUGUAACAGUUUUCAUGGCUACCUCGACUCUUCUGAGAACAACCAAAGAA
rnacentral:lncRNA from 1 species